rnacentral:rRNA from 1 species
CGUCCGGAACGGGCGCUAAUACCGCAUACGUCCUGAGGGAGAAAGUGGGGGAUCUUCGGACCUCACGCUAUCAGAUGAGCCUAGGUCGGAUUAGCUAGUUGGUGGGGUAAAGGCCUACCAAGGCGACGAUCCGUAACUGGUCUGAGAGGAUGAUCAGUCACACUGGAACUGAGACACGGUCCAGACUCCUACGGGAGGCAGCAGUGGGGAAUAUUGGACAAUGGGCGAAAGCCUGAUCCAGCCAUGCCGCGUGUGUGAAGAAGGUCUUCGGAUUGUAAAGCACUUUAAGUUGGGAGGAAGGGCAGUAAGUUAAUACCUUGCUGUUUUGACGUUACCAACAGAAUAAGCACCGGCUAACUUCGUGCCAGCAGCCGCGGUAAUACGAAGGGUGCAAGCGUUAAUCGGAAUUACUGGGCGUAAAGCGCGCGUAGGUGGUUCAGCAAGUUGGAUGUGAAAUCCCCGGGCUCAACCUGGGAACUGCAUCCAAAACUACUGAGCUAGAGUACGGUAGAGGGUGGUGGAAUUUCCUGUGUAGCGGUGAAAUGCGUAGAUAUAGGAAGGAACACCAGUG